AUUUGCAAAAUAAUAGAAUUAUAAAACCUUAUACAGAAUUAGAAGUUAAUUUUUCAUGUGAGCAGUAUAAAAUUCAUGCAAACUGCAUGCAGUCUGUGGUCCCAGGAGUCAGCUUCCAUAGCUGCUAGGCUGGGCCUUUGUGCACACAGAAGUAGACACCCCUUUGUUUUGCCCCUCCUUCUCUUCUUCAGCAGUCAUUCAAUGACAAGCGUAAAAAGAACCUCUUUUCCCGAAAAUUUCCCUUCUACAAGAACAAGGACCAGAGUGAGCAGGAAACAAGUGAUGCUGACCGUAAGUAUGUGGAUUCAUUGGUCAACUGAUAAUAGAAUGUAGAGGGACCUACUGCCCUGCAGUUGGCUGUUACCAUGGAGACAGUUUCAAGAGCUGCAACAGGUUAC
rnacentral:lncRNA from 1 species